AGAGUUUGAUCAUGGCUCAGAUUGAACGCUGGCGGCAUGCCUUACACAUGCAAGUCGAACGGCAGCACGGGAGCAAUCCUGGUGGCGAGUGGCGAACGGGUGAGUAAUAUAUCGGAACGUGCCCAGUCGUGGGGGAUAACGUAGCGAAAGCUACGCUAAUACCGCAUACGAUCUACGGAUGAAAGCGGGGGAUCGCAAGACCUCGCGCGAUUGGAGCGGCCGAUAUCAGAUUAGCUAGUUGGUGGGGUAAAAGCCCACCAAGGCGACGAUCUGUAGCUGGUCUGAGAGGACGACCAGCCACACUGGAACUGAGACACGGUCCAGACUCCUACGGGAGGCAGCAGUGGGGAAUUUUGGACAAUGGGCGCAAGCCUGAUCCAGCAAUGCCGCGUGCAGGAUGAAGGCCUUCGGGUUGUAAACUGCUUUUGUACGGAACGAAACGGUUCGCUUUAAUACAGUGGGCUAAUGACGGUACCGUAAGAAUAAGCACCGGCUAACUACGUGCCAGCAGCCGCGGUAAUACGUAGGGUGCGAGCG
rnacentral:rRNA from 1 species